rnacentral:rRNA from 1 species
GAUGAACGCUGGCGGCGUGCCUAAUACAUGCCAGUCGAGCGAACGGACGAGAAGCUUGCUUCUCUGAUGUUAGCGGCGGACGGGUGAGUAACACGUGGAUAACCUACCUAUAAGACUGGGGUAACUUCGGGAAACCGGAGCUAAUACCGGAUAAUAUUUUGAACCGCAUGGUUCAAAAGUGAAAGACGGUCUUGCUGUCACUUAUAGAUGGAUCCGCGCUGCAUUAGCUAGUUGGUAAGGUAACGGCUUACCAAGGCAACGAUGCAUAGCCGACCUGAGAGGGUGAUCGGCCACACUGGAACUGAGACACGGUCCAGACUCCUACGGGAGGCAGCAGUAGGGAAUCUUCCGCAAUAGGCGAAAGCCUGACGGAGCAACGCCGCGUGAGUGAUGAAGGUCUUCGGAUCGUAAAACUCUGUUAUUAGGGAAGAACAUAUGUGUAAGUAACUGUGCACAUCUUGACGGUACCUAAUCAGAAAGCCACGGCUAACUACGUG